CCGGCGCAUAUAUUGAUUGUUUUAGAAGCGUCCCUGGUGCAAUGGGCUUGCGCAUGCGGCGUUUUCAUUUUUUUGUUCGCGCAUGCGCCGUUUCUUACCGUCCGCUCUCGGAUAAUUCCGAAGCAGUUCGCCAUUAGACUGGUUCCUGUUCGAUUUUGCAAUAGAAGAUUGGUAAUCUUCUAAUAUGUGAAGCUUUGAAAAUAUAAGGCAAAUUAAAACCAGAGAUUUUUUUAAAUAACUCUUUUAGAGAAAAAAUAUCAUAAAUGCACAGUUGUUGAGAAAACUUCUCUUUUUUAUUUAAAUAUUUUUACAUAAAAGAAUAAACCACGAAUGCGCAGAAUGUAUCUUACAAUAAUCUUAGAAAAUCGGUGAACUAGUCUAUUAUCUGAUUACUCGGUUAUGACACGUACGGGUCAGAUGCAAGCGUCCAGUAGACUAGGGAUAUCAAGGUCAACACGCUGGCGGUUGGGGAAAGACAUAGGCGAGUGUGCGGUCAAGGUCAAAAUUGCGAGAGGGUGAUUCGAAGUGAAAUACCGCAACCAAAACGUUUUAUUUGGACAUUAACGCGUCUAUCUGAAUGAGUCACAAUGAUAGAUGAAAACUGCAAAAAAUGGCCACCAACAAUAAUGGGCCAGGACUGAGGAGUUCCAAGAAAUGAGUAUUCUUCAGCCUACAAAUAUCAGUGCUGCCCCGCUGCCCAAAACCAGAGCAACAAGCAACUUGUGGCAACAAGUAAAUGGACCUUGACAAAUGUCCUCUAUGUUAGAGCCAGUCCCUCACACAAGUGGCCUACUUUUGCACAGCUGAGGUUGUUAUCAAACGCAGCAGUAGGUAUGAAAUGCGGAAACUGUUCCAACUUGAUCUUCAAUAGUUGAGUUACUCCUCAUCACAAUACCUGAACUGAAAACAAUCGGUGACGUUCCUGCACUUCACUUCUACCUCACAGUGCUUUUCCCUAUAAACACUAGAGGAAAGUUUGAAAAUGAAAAACUUGUCAUUGCAAGUGUGAAAGGACCAAAUUUAUUCUUAACGAAACAACCUGCCUCAAUGCUUUAGCUGACACUACAUCAAGUCAACACAAGGCAAUUUGUUUUUCUCGCAACCUGAGCGGUAUGUUGAAUCUGAUCAAAAUUGUACACAACCACUGGUCAAGAAUAUAGAAAUACAAGUUGUAUGAUCAGUAACCUAAAAUAUUCUUGAAUAUUUGAACAUAAUAAAAGAGUAUUUGUUAAAGUUAUACAUAUUGUGUGUAGUGUAGGUAAGAUCAAUGUCAAGGUUAUUUUGGCUAAAAAAAAAGAAAAAUGAGUCUUGAUUCAUAAUAUCGAUGAAAUAGCAAGCCUUAAGUAUUUUCGAUAAAGUGAUACAUGUAUUUUGUGGUGAUGUCAUAACCUUGUUUCACUGUUUUUGAAGAGAAAACACAUGUUAUAAAUAUAUUAUCACAUUUGUGUUUUUUUAGCUCGACUAUCUUAAGAAUAAGGUGGACUAUUCGCUCUGGUGUCGGUGUCCGGUUCAAGUUUUAGGGCAAGUUGGGAUUUUCACUUAUAAGUCCAAUACUCUUCAUUCAAUUGACUUAAUACCUCACACAGUUGUUCAAGGCCAUCAUAUAAUGGGAAUAGAUAACUCCUUUAUACAAGUUAUGGCCCCUGAUUGACUAUCAAACUUAGGUUAAAGUUUUAGGGCAGGUUGGGAUAUUUAUUAAUAACUUCUCUAUCAUUCGUUCAUUUAACUUAAUGCUUGACACAUUUGUUCAGGACCAUCACACAAUGAGGUUACAUAACUCUGUAUUAUCCUUAAUACAAGUUAUAGCCCCUGAUUGACUUAGGUUAAAGGUUUAGGGCAGGUUAAAGUUAUAGAACAAGUUGGGAUUUCCACUAAUAAGUCCAAUACCCUUCAUUCAAUUGACUUAAUACUUUACACAGUUGUUCAGUGCCAUCACAUAAUUAGGUAAGAUAACUCCAUAUCAUAUUUUAUACACAUAAUGGCCCCUGAUUGACUAUGGAACUUAGGUUAAAAUUUAAGAGCAGGUUGAUAUAUUUAUUGAUAACUUCUAUACCCUUCAUUCAUAUAAUCCUUAAUACAAGUUAUGGCCCCUGAUUGACUUAGGUUAAAGUUUUAGGGCAA